ACUUGGGGUGGGUGGGUGUGUGUGUGUGUGUGUGUGUGUGUGUGUGUGGGGCUGGGUUGCCUCAUGCUCCCCC
rnacentral:miRNA from 1 species